rnacentral:rRNA from 1 species
GAUGAACGCUAGCUACAGGCUUAACACAUGCAAGUCGAGGGGAAACGAUAUUGGAAGCUUGCUUCCGAUAGGCGUCGACCGGCGCACGGGUGAGUAACGCGUAUCCAACCUGCCCAUCACUUGGGGAUAACCUUGCGAAAGUAAGACUAAUACCCAAUGACGUCUCUAGAAGACAUCUGAAGGAGAUUAAAGAUUUAUCGGUGAUGGAUGGGGAUGCGUCUGAUUAGCUUGUUGGCGGGGUAACGGCCCACCAAGGCGACGAUCAGUAGGGGUUCUGAGAGGAAGGUCCCCCACAUUGGAACUGAGACACGGUCCAAACUCCUACGGGAGGCAGCAGUGAGGAAUAUUGGUCAAUGGACGAGAGUCUGAACCAGCCAAGUAGCGUGCAGGAUGACGGCCCUAUGGGUUGUAAACUGCUUUAUAAGGGAAUAAAGCGAGUCUCGUGAGGCUUUUUGCAUGUACCUUAUGAAUAAGGACCGGCUAAUUCCGUGCCAGCAG